AACGAACGCUGGCGGCAGGCUUAACACAUGCAAGUCGAGCGCCCCGCAAGGGGAGCGGCAGACGGGUGAGUAACGCGUGGGAAUCUACCCAUCUCUACGGAAUAACGCAUGGAAACGUGUGCUAAUACCGUAUACGUCCUUCGGGAGAAAGAUUUAUCGGAGAUGGAUGAGCCCGCGUUGGAUUAGCUAGUUGGUGGGGUAAAGGCCUACCACGGCGACGAUCCAUAUCUGGUCUGAGAGGAUGAUCAGCCACACUGGGACUGAGACACGGCCCAGACUCCUAUGGGAGGCAUCAGUGGGAAAUAUUGGACAAUGGAGGCAGGCCUGAUCCAGCCAUGCCGCGUGAGUGAUGAAGGCCCUAGGGUUGUAACGCUCUUUCACCGGUGAAGAUAAUGACGGUAACCGGAGAAGAAGCCCCGGCUAACUUCGUGCAAGCCGCCGCAGUAAAAC
rnacentral:rRNA from 1 species